AAUAGAUACCCUGGUAGUCCAUGCCGUAAACGUUGGGAGCUAGAUGUAGGGACCAUUCCACGGUUUCUGUGUCGCAGCUAACGCAUUAAGUUCCCCGCCUGGGGAGUACGGCCGCAAGGCUAAAACUCAAAGGAAUUGACGGGGGCCCGCACAAGCGGCGGAGCAUGCGGAUUAAUUCGAGGCAACGCGAAGAACCUUACCAAGGCUUGACAUAUACGAGAACGCCCUAGAAAUAGGGGACUCUUUGGACACUCGUAUACAGGUGGUGCAUGGUUGUCGUCAGCUCGUGUCGUGAGGUGUUGGGUUAAGUCCCGCAACGAGCGCAACCCUCGUUCUAUGUUGCCAGCACGUCAUGGUGGGAACUCAUAGGAGACUGCCGGGGUCAACUCGGAGGAAGGUGGGGAUGACGUCAAAUCAUCAUGCCCCUUAUGUCUUGGGCUUCACGCAUGCUACAAUGGCCGGUACAAAGGGCUGCAAUACCGCAAGGUGGAGCGAAUCCCAAAAAGCCGGUCUCAGUUCGGAUUGAGGUCCGCAACUCGA
rnacentral:rRNA from 1 species